rnacentral:rRNA from 1 species
CGGCGUGCCUAACACACGCAAGUCGUACGAGAAAGCCGGCUUCGGCUGGUGAGUAAAGUGGCGCACGGGUGAGUAACGCGUGGAUAAUCUGCCCUUAAGUGCGGAAUAACGUACCGAAAGGUGCGCUAAUACCGCAUAAUGCCUGGCAACACAAGUUGUCCGGCCAAAGAAGGCCUCUGUUUACAAGCUUUCGCUUCAGGAUGAGUCCGCGUACCAUUAGCUUGUUGGUGGGGUAAUGGCCUACCAAGGCUGCGAUGGUUAGCUGGUCUGAGAGGAUGAUCAGCCACACUGGAACUGAGACACGGUCCAGACUCCUACGGGAGGCAGCAGUGAGGAAUAUUGCGCAAUGGGGGCAACCCUGACGCAGCAACGCCGCGUGAGUGAGGAAGGUUUUCGGACUGUAAAGCUCUGUCGAGCGGGAAGAAGUGUACCAUGGCUAAUAUCCAUGAUAUUUGACGGUACCGCUAGAGGAAGCACCGGCUAACUCCGUG